rnacentral:tRNA from 2 species
GCUCCCGUAGCUUAAUGGACAAAGUGGCGGUUUCCGGAACCGUUGAUGCCAGUUCGAUUCUGACCGGGAGCA